CGAACUUGGACGCUCCACCGACUGACCCACCCAGGCACCCAACAGAGUGGUUUCGAGAAAAUUUAAAGCCACCGACGUGGCUUGUUCUAGGCGAUUCUGAGGCACAUUGACAUAUGAGGACAGCGCCCUACCAGCUUAGGGCUUGGAGAAGCUUGAGGGACACCAGGAAUCAUUUCCAGGAGAGGCGGGCCGCGAGCCACAGGCCAGGAGAAUGAAGGUCUGAUUCCCUGCAAGGACCAGAGGCGGAGGCACAGAUUUCAAGAGCGAAUCCUUCAAGCAUUAGAAGAAAGAAACCCAGACUUUCGCAGCUGCAAACGUGUUCAGUGCAGCAUGUGGCUCCCAAAGUCCGAGACGGAGAAGCCGAAGGACCGGCCAGCCCAGGACGGCCCGUUUUUCUGUGGACCGCUCCCUGUUCGGAACCAAUUUUGUGGAAUCUUCUGGCUGGCAGCGUUAUGUUCUCGAAGGACAGUGAGUGGGGCAGAACAGGUUAAGAGCAAGCCAAAGUCUUUCAGGUCGGAGGUUCUGGCUCUACGAAGCUCGGUGGUGGGGCCGACGUUCCCAACUAAGCUGAGCCUGCAAUUUGGAAGGGAUCCUAGGUUUGCAUUGUCCCAAACCGUAUGUAUGAGAGUUUUCCAGGGAAACAGAACCAGGAGGCUGGGCAUUUGUAGAGAGAUUUAUUUUAAGUAAUUGGCUCAUGUGAUUAUGGAGCCUGACAAGUCCAAACUCUUCAGGGUGGGCUGUCAGGCUGAAGGCUCUGGAGAGCUGAUGUUGAAGUUCAAGGCCAGAAGACGGUCUCAUGCAGAACUCCCUCU